UCUUUCCAAUCCAAACCUCGAUUCGGCUCCAGCGAUUAUAAAGCAAAUCUUCAGCUUAGCACCAGCUGGGCAAGUUUGUGUAGUAGCCCUUGUUCCUGCCUUGCGUUCACUCCUUGAAAAAUCAUCAGUACUAGUAUACCCUGCGCUUGUUCAGAGGAGAAGGCAAGAUGAGUUCGCCGGUGACCAGCCUCGUCAGCGAGCAAGAUUUGAAACAGAAGUUGGCGGGCGCCACCACAAAGCUGGUGGUGCUGGAGUUCGUCAAAUCGGACAGCCAGAUUUGCGAAUACGUGAAGAGGGAACGGGAUGAGAUCGCCAAAGAAAUGGAAGAUAAAGCCGAGUUCUACGAGCUCGACAUCGACACAUUCAAGGUGUGCAUGUUUGUUUGAGGUGCGCAAAAGUAUAUCGCUGCACAUGUUUAGUCCCACAAUACCUGCCCAGAAAUUCGCGGAGAAGUUUAAAGUAGAGGCGCUGCCGGCGUUCGUGGUGAUGCAGAAUUUCGUUAAGAAGCGCCAUGUGGUUGGGACCGCCGAUCUCAAGAAAGAAAUCGAUGAUGCCUACGCUAAAUUCGAAAGAAACGCGCAGGUUGACUCCAGUCCUAAUAAUGGCUCCGAACAAAGACAAGCUGAAGAAAACUCACAACAAGAACUAGAGCGCCAUUGGUCGUACCCCCAACAAGAAAAGGCCGCGCGAAGCAGUGGCGGCAGACCGAUAGGACCAGCAAGAGCGCGUGUGAAAAAUGCAUUGCUAGAUAACCUCCUUCGCUUCCUGGAGAAACGCUACAGACGCUAGCUUAUGACAACAAGCAGUACAGAAGUAUACUUUUUAGCAAAAUCUAAUUUGAGAAGGGCCUUACUACUUUUGGUGAAAUUAUCUUGUGCUGUUUAAUCAAAUACGGAGCCUUCGUCGCUUCUAGUAGAAUAUAAGUUGUAUAUUUCUUUCAGACUGUAGUCAUUCAUAAGUUAUUUAUAAUACUCUGUACGUGAUAGAGUAUUUUACUUUUA